ACACAUGCAAGACAAACGGGGAUCACGGGGCGGAAGGUGGCGGAGGGAAGGCCUGCGAUUCUAGUGGCGCACGGGUGAGUAACGCGUGAACCACCUGCCUUUCGGAGGGGGAUAACUCCAGGAAACAAGUGCUAAUACCCGAUAAGACCACGACCCGGCAUCGGGAUGGGGUCAAAGAUUUAUCGCUGGAAGAGGGGUUCGCGUCCCAUUAAGUAGUUGGAGAGAUAACACCCCACCAAGCCAACGAUGGGUAGCCGAGCUGAGAGGCUGAUCGGCCACACUGGAACUGAGACACGGUCCACACUCCUACGGGAGGCAGCAGUGGGGAAUAUUGGGCAAUGGGCGGAAGCCUGACCCAGCAACGCCGCGUGAGGGAAGAAGGUCUUCGGAUUGUAAACCUUUGUCGCAAGGGACGAAGAAGUGACGGUACCUUGUGAGGAAACCCCGGCUAACUUCGUGCCCGCCGCCGCGGUUAUACGUAGGGGGCCAGCGUUGUCCGGAAUUUCUGGGCGUAAAGGGUGCGUAGGCGGUUGUUUCAGUUCGAUGUGAAAUACCCGGGGUUAACUUGGGGGGUGCAUUCAAAACUGGAUGACUAGAGUUCAGGAGAGGGAAGCGGAAUUCCUUGUGUUGCGGUGGAAUGCGUUGGUUUUUGGAGGGACCCCCGUGGCGGAG
rnacentral:rRNA from 1 species